AUUGAACGCUGGCGGCAGGCCUAACACAUGCAAGUCGAACGGUAACAGGAAGCAGCUUGCUGCUUUGCUGACGAGUGGCGGACGGGUGAGUAAUGUCUGGGAAACUGCCCGAUGGAGGGGGAUAACUACUGGAAACGGUAGCUAAUACCGCAUAACGUCGCAAGACCAAAGAGGGGGACCUUAGGGCCUCUUGCCAUCGGAUGUGCCCAGAUGGGAUUAGCUAGUAGGUGGGGUAACGGCUCACCUAGGCGACGAUCCCUAGCUGGUCUGAGAGGAUGACCAGCGACAUGGGAACUGAGACACGGGCCAGACUCCUACGGGAGGCAGCAGUGGGGAAUAUUGCACAAUGGGCGCAAGCCUGAUGCAGCCAGGCCGAGUGUAUGAAGAAGGCCUUCGGGUUGUAAAGUACUUUCAGCGGGGAGGAAGGGAGUAAAGUUAAUACCUUUGCUCAUUGACGGUACCCGCAGAAGAAGCACCGGCUAACUCCGUG
rnacentral:rRNA from 1 species